rnacentral:rRNA from 1 species
AUUGAACGCUGGCGGCAGGCCUAACACAUGCAAGUCGAACGGUAGCACAGAGAGCUUGCUCUCGGGUGACGAGUGGCGGACUGGUGAGUAACGUCUGGGAAACUGCCCGAUGGAGGGGGAUAACUACUGGAAACGGUAGCUAAUACCGCAUAACGUCGCAAGACCAAAGUGGGGGACCUUCGGGCCUCACACCAUCGGAUGUGCCCAGAUGGGAUUAGCUAGUAGGUGGGGUAAUGGCUCACCUAGGCGACGAUCCCUAGCUGGUCUGAGAGGGUGACCAGCCACACGGGAACUGGGAAACGGUCCAGACGCCUACGGGAGGCAGCAGUGGGGAAUAUUGCACAAUGGGCGAAAGCCUGAUGCAGCCAUGCCGCGUGUAUGAAGAAGGCCUUCGGGUUGUAAAGUACUUUCAGCGGGGAGGAAGGCGGUGAAGUUAAUAGCUUCACCGAUUGACGUUACCCGCAGAAGAAGCACCGGCUAACUCCGUGCCAGCCGCCGCGGUAA